rnacentral:rRNA from 1 species
UACGGAGGGUGCAAGCGUUGUUCGGAUUUACUGGGCGUAAGCGCGCGCAGGUGGGUGUGCAAGUCGGAAGUGAAAUCUUGAGGCUCAACCUCGAGGCUGCUCCCGAAACUGCACGCCUAGGGACUGGUAGAGGCUGGUAGAAUUCCCGGUGUAGCGGAUGGAUGCGUAGAGAUCGGGAAGAAUACCCGUGGCGGAAGGCGGCCA